GACGAACGCUGGCGGCGUGCUUAACACAUGCAAGUCGAACGGAAAGGCCUGCUUUCCCUUGUGGAUUGCGGGUACUCGAGUGGCGAACGGGUGAGCAACACGUGAGUGAUCUGCCCCCAACUUGGGUAUAAGCCUGGGAAACUGGGUCUAAUUCCCGAUAGGACUGCAGGGUGGUGCCUGUGGUGGAAAACGAUUUUCUAGUGGUUGGGGAUGAGCUCGCGGCCUAUCAGCUUGUUGGUGGGGUAAUGGCCUACCAAGGCGGCGACGGGUAGCCGGCCUGAGAGGGUGGACGGCCACAUUGGGACUGGGAUACGGCCCAGACUCCUACGGGAGGCAGCAGUGGGGAAUAUUGCACAAUGGGCGGAAGCCUGAUGCAGCGACGCCGCGUGGGGGAUGACGGCCUUCGGGUUGUAAACUCCUUUCGACCGCGAGGAAGCCACCUGGUUGGAAGGGUGGUGACGGUAGUGGUAGAAGAAGCACCGGCUAACUACGUG
rnacentral:rRNA from 1 species